ensembl:miRNA
UCUUUGACUACUGAGUGGUUCUUUCCAGGACUGUCCAACCUGAGAAUGGUGAUUUCAGGCUCAAUCUCAGGUUCGUCAGCCCAUGAAACGCCAACUCUCCUCAGCACA